rnacentral:rRNA from 1 species
UACGUAGGGUCCGAGCGUUGUCCGGAAUUACUGGGCGUAAAGAGCUCGUAGGUGGUUUGUCGCGUUGUUCGUGAAAACUCACAGCUUAACUGUGGGCGUGCGGGCGAUACGGGCAGACUGGAGUACUGCAGGGGAGACUGGAAUUCCCGGUGUAGCGGUGGAAUGCGCAGAUAUCAGGAGGAACACCGGUGGCGAAGGCGGGUCUCUGGGCAGUAACUGACGCUGAGGCACGAAGGUCAGGGGAGCAAACGGG